UACAGAGGUCUCAAGCGUUGUUCGGAUUCAUUGGGCGUAAAGGGUGUGUAGGUGGCGCCGUAAGUCGGGUGUGAAAUUUCGGAGCUUAACUCCGAAACUGCAUUCGAUACUGCGGUGCUUGAGGACUGGAGAGGAGACUGGAAUUCAUGGUGUAGCAGUGAAAUGCGUAGAGAUCCGGAGGAACCCCAGAGGCGAAGGCGGCGCCCUGGCUCGCAACUGACGCUCAGACACGACAGCAUGGGGAGCGAACGGG
rnacentral:rRNA from 1 species